GUGUUCUGUUUCCAUUGAAUAGCAAUGCUCAGGCUCUCAAACCCUUCCUCUGCUCCCCUGCGGUGUGGGGGAAGGGCUGUGGCUUGUGCAAUGUCCUGGUGUUGGGGAGGAGUGGUGUCUUCAGGCACAGCUUCCUGCCUCCUGCACUCUUGUGCCUUUUCUGGCGUGGUGUGCUUGCCCUGAUCUGUGAUUCCAGUGCUGCCCUUGGUGAUUCACGGAGAAGGUUAUUUUACCCUGGGGACAGAGUGCCACACAAAGACUUUCCUGCUGCUGAAUGUGUGAACAAACACCAUCUCAGAGAAUCAAUAGAAGAAAUCUAAGAAGAAAUGCCUUGAUUGGCAAAGACUUCUGGUGGCCUGGGACAGUGGAAGUGAUGCUAUGUGAUUUCUGCAACUACAAAGCUGAUUCAGGUUAUGUAUGUCUCUCUUGGGAUACAUGCCUUGGAAGUCCUGAUGUGCCAUGUAGGAAAUCCACUUAUUCUGAAGCUAACACUUUGGAGAGAUCUGUGGAGAGACUAAAUGAAGGUA
rnacentral:lncRNA from 1 species